AGAAAAGGAGGCCUUCUCUUCCUGGUUCUUCCUGAGUUGGGAAAAGCUGGGUUGAGAGGGUGAAAAAGAAAAAAA
rnacentral:pre_miRNA from 1 species